rnacentral:misc_RNA from 1 species
AGCAGAGCCAUACUCGGUCAAAGGUGGGAGCGGGCUUGCUCGCGAAUGCGGUGUGUCAGAGACAGAUGAAUUGACUGACCCACCGCAUUCGCGAGCAAGCCCGCUCCCACAUUUAGACCGCGUUGCA